CAAUAGCGUAUAUUAAAGUUGUUGCGGUUAAAAAGCUCGUAGUUGGAUUUCUGUUGAAAAGAGCCGGUCCGCCUUUCGGGUGAGUAUCUGGAUUCGUUUCGGCAUCCUCUCGGAAUAUGCUCUGCGCUUUGUUGCGUGGUGUUUAGUUCGAGACUUUUACUUUGAGGAAAUUAGAGUGUUCACGGCAGGCAGACGCCUUGAAUAUAUUAGCAUGGAAUAAUAGAAUAGGACUUUGGUUCUAUUUUGUUGGUUUCUAGGACCGAAGUAAUGAUUAAUAGGGACAGUUGGGGGCAUUAGUAUUUAAUUGUCAGAGGUGAAAUUCUUGGAUUUAUGAAAGACUAACUACUGCGAAAGCAUUUGCCAAGGAUGUUUUCAUUAAUCAAGAACGAAAGUUAGGGGAUCGAAGAUGAUCAG
rnacentral:rRNA from 1 species